rnacentral:rRNA from 1 species
AGAGUUUGAUCAUGGCUCAGGAUGAACGCUAGCUACAGGCUUAACACAUGCAAGUCGAGGGGCAGCAUGUUGGUUGCUUGCAACCAAUGAUGGCGACCGGCGCACGGGUGAGUAACGCGUAUCCAACCUACCCUUGUCCAUCGGAUAACCCGUCGAAAGGCGGCCUAACACGAUAUGCGGUUCACAGCAGGCAUCUAAGGUGAACGAAAUGUGAAGGAGAAGGAUGGGGAUGCGUCUGAUUAGCUUGUUGGCGGGGUAACGGCCACAAGGCUACGAUCAGUAGGGUUCUGAGAGGACGGUCCCCCANAUUGGAACUGAGACACGGUCCAAACUCCGUACGGGAGGCA